UACAGAGGGUGCAAGCGUUAAUCGGAAUUACUGGGCGUAAAGCGCAUGUAGGUGGGUAUAUAAGUUUGAUGUGAAAGCCCUGGGCUUAACCUGGGAAUGGCGUUGAAGACUGUAUAGCUAGAGUUUGACAGAGGGUCGUGGAAUUUCCGGUGUAGCGGUGAAAUGCGUAGAGAUCGGAAAGAACACCAGUGGCGAAGGCGGCGACCUGGGUCUAAACUGACACUGAGGUGCGAAAGCGUGGGGAGCAAAC
rnacentral:rRNA from 1 species